rnacentral:rRNA from 1 species
GCCGGCAGCUAGCUCUCUGCAACUCUCACAUGGUUGCCCACUGAAGCUAAGCAAGGCUGCGCCCGGUCAGUACCUGGAUGGGAGAUCACAUAGGAAAGCUAGGUUGCUGCUAGAA